GAUGAACGCUAGCGGCAGGCUUAACACAUGCAAGUCGAGGGGCAGCAUUUCCGCUUGCGGAAGAUGGCGACCGGCGCACGGGUGCGUAACGCGUAUAGAACCUACCUUUAACAAAGGAAUAGCCCGAAGAAAUUUGGAUUAAUACCUUAUAGUAUUCAUGAAUGGCAUCAUUUAUGGAUUAAAGAUUUAUCGGUUAAAGAUGGCUAUGCGUUCUAUUAGCUAGUUGGUAAAGUAAUGGUUUACCAAGGCAACGAUAGAUAGGGGUCCUGAGAGGGAGAUCCCCCACACUGGUACUGAGACACGGACCAGACUCCUACGGGAGGCAGCAGUGAGGAAUAUUGGACAAUGGAGGCAACUCUGAUCCAGCCAUGCCGCGUGUAGGAAGACUGCCUUAUGGGUUGUAAACUACUUUUAUAUAGGAAGAAACACAGAUACGUGUAUUUGUUUGACGGUACUAUAAGAAUAAGGAUCGGCUAACUCCG
rnacentral:rRNA from 1 species